rnacentral:rRNA from 1 species
CAGCAGCCACGGUAAUACGGAGGGUGCAAGCGUUAUCCGGAUUUAUUGGGUUUAAAGGGUCCGUAGGCUGAUCUGUAAGUCAGUGGUGAAAUCUCACAGCUUAACUGUGAAACUGCCAUUGAUACUGCAGGUCUUGAGUAAAUUUGAAGUGGCUGGAAUAAGUAGUGUAGCGGUGAAAUGCAUAGAUAUUACUUAGAACACCAAUUGCGAAGGCAGGUCACUAAGAUUUAACUGACGCUGAUGGACGAAAGCGUGGGGAGCGAACAGGAUUAGAUACCCCCGUAGUCCCUGUCUCUUAUAC